UCGAGCGAACCUUCGGGGUGAGCGGCGGACGGGUGAGUAACGCGUGGGUAACCUGCCCUGUACACACGGAUAACAUACCGAAAGGUAUGCUAAUACGGGAUAACAUAUGAGAGUCGCAUGGCUUUCAUAUCAAAGCUCCGGCGGUACAGGAUGGACCCGCGUCUGAUUAGCUAGUUGGUAAGGUAACGGCUUACCAAGGCAACGAUCAGUAGCCGACCUGAGAGGGUGAUCGGCCACAUUGGAACUGAGACACGGUCCAAACUCCUACGGGAGGCAGCAGUGGGGAAUAUUGCACAAUGGGCGAAAGCCUGAUGCAGCAACGCCGCGUGAGCGAUGAAGGCCUUCGGGUCGUAAAGCUCUGUCCUCAAGGAAGAUAAUGACGGUACUUGAGGAGGAAGCCCCGGCUAACUACGUGCCAGCAGCCGCGGUAAUACGUAGGGGGCUAGCGUUAUCCGGAAUUACUGGGCGUAAGGGUGCGUAGGCGGUCUUUCAAGCCAGAAGUGAAAGGCUACGGCUCAACCGUAGUAAGCUUUUGGAACUGUAGGACUUGAGUGCAGGAGAGGAGAGUGGAAUUCCUAGUGUAGCGGUGAAAUGCGUAGAUAUUAGGAGGAACACCAGUAGCGAAGGCGGCUCUCUGGACUGUAACUGACGCUGAGGCACGAAAGCGUGGGGAGCAAACAGGAUUAGAUACCCUGGUAGUCCACGCCGUANACGAUGAGUACUAGGUGUCNGGGGUUACCCCCCUCGGUGCCGCAGCUAACGCAU
rnacentral:rRNA from 1 species